rnacentral:rRNA from 1 species
AAGGAUUAUUCACUUCCCGAGGGGCUCGCGGUCCAUCAGCUUGUUGGUGAGGGUAACGGCCCACCAAGGCGACAACGGGUAGCUGGUCUGAGAGGAUGGUCAGCCACACUGGAACUGAGACACGGUCCAGACACCUACGGGUGGCAGCAGUCGAGAAUCAUUCGCAAUGGGGGAAACCCUGACGAUGCGACGCCGCGUGGAGGAUGAAGGCCUUAGGGUUGUAAACUCCUGUCAAGAGGGAAUAAGCAAGUGAAGGUACCUCUAGAGGAAGGGGCGGCUAAUUCCGUGCCAGCAGCCGCGGUAACACGGAAGCCCCGAGCGUUGUUCGGAUUCAUUGGGCGUAAAGGGUGCGUAGGCGGCGCGGAAAGUCCGGCGUGAAAGGCAGAGGCUCAACCUCUGGACUGCGUUGGAUACUUCCGUGCUUGAGGACUGGAGGGGAGACUGGAAUUCACGGUGUAGCAGUGAAAUGCGUAGAUAUCGUGAGGAAGACCGGUGGCGAAGGCGAGUCUCUGGACAGAUCCUGACGCUGAGGCACGAAGGCUGGGGGAGCGAACAGGAUUAGAUACCCUGGUAGUCCCAGCAGUAAACGAUGUGAGCUUGAUGUGGGGGGAUUCGACCCCUUCCGUGUCGAAGCUAACGCGAUAAGCUCACCGCCUGAGGAGUACGGCCGCAAGGCUAAAACUCAAAGAAAUUGACGGGGACCCGCACAAGCGGUGGAGUAUGUGGCUUAAUUCGAUGCAACGCGAAGAACCUUACCUGGCCUUGACAUGCAUUGUGUCGUCGGUGAAAGCCGGCUAGUCCUGGAAACAGGACGCUUUGCACAGGUGCUGCAUGGCUGUCGUCAGCUCGUGUCGUGAGAUGUUGGGUUAAGUCCCGCAACGAGCGCAACCCUUGUGGUCAGUUACUAACCGGCUUAGCCGGAGGACUCUGGCCAGACUGCCCUGUCAAACGGGGAGGAAGGUGGGGACGACGUCAAGUCAGUAUGGCCCUUAUGGCCAGGGCUGCACACGUACUACAAUGCCCGGUACAAUGUGAACCGAAACCGCGAGGUGGAGGAAAUCGCUCUUGAAAACCGGGCCCAGUUCGGAUUGGAGUCUGCAACCCGACUCCAUGAAGUCGGAAUCGCUAGUAAUGGCGUAUCAGCA